GUGGGGAAUCUUGCGCAAUGGGCGAAAGCCUGACGCAGCCAUGCCGCGUGAAUGAUGAAGGUCUUAGGAUUGUAAAAUUCUUUCACCGGGGACGAUAAUGACGGUACCCGGAGAAGAAGCCCCGGUUAACUUCGUGCCAGCAGCCGCGGUAAUACGAAGGGGGCUAGCGUUGCUCGGAAUUACUGGGCGUAAAGGGCGCGUAGGCGGACAGUUUAGUCAGAGGUGAAAGCCCAGGGCUCAACCUUGGAAUUGCCUUUGAUACUGGCUGUCUUGAGUACGGGAGAGGUGAGUGGAACUCCGAGUGUAGAGGUGAAAUUCGUAGAUAUUCGGAAGAACACCAGUGGCGAAGGCGACUCACUGGCCCGUUACUGACGCUGAGGCGCGAAAGCGUGGGGAGCAAACAGGAUUAGAAACCCCGGUAGUAC
rnacentral:rRNA from 1 species